AUUCCAUGAUGUGGACAAUUUUUUAUCAUCAUGUUCAACCGGUCGAACGCUUCAUGAAACAUCUCUCCUUGUUGUUGUUGAAAACUUCUCAACCCUUUUCUCACAUC
rnacentral:snoRNA from 1 species